CCGACCUUAGCUCAGUUGGUAGAGCGGAGGACUGUAGUUUGAUUAAUCUAAAUUGGAAAUCCUUAGAUUGCUGGAUCGAAUCCAGCAGGUUGGA
rnacentral:tRNA from 1 species